rnacentral:rRNA from 1 species
CCUACGGGUGGCAGCAGUCGAGAAUCAUUCACAAUGGGGGAAACCCUGAUGGUGCGACGCCGCGUGGGGGAAUGAAGGUCUUCGGAUUGUAAACCCCUGUCAUGUGGGAGCAAAUUAAAAAGAUCGUACCACACUAGGAAGAGACGGCUAACUCUGUGCCAGCAGCCGCGGUAAUACAGAGGUCUCAAGCGUUGUUCGGAAUCACUGGGCGUAAAGCGUGCGUAGGCUGUUUCGUAAGUCGUGUGUGAAAGGCGCGGGCUCAACCCGCGGACGGCACAUGAUACUGCGAGACUAGAGUAAUGGAGGGGGAACCGGAAUUCUCGGUGUAGCAGUGAAAUGCGUAGAUAUCGAGAGGAACACUCGUGGCGAAGGCGGGUUCCUGGACAUUAACUGACGCUGAGGCACGAAGGCCAGGGGAGCGAAAGGGAUUAGAUACCCUAGUAGUC